AAAGGGUCCUUCGGGAUCUGAGUAGAGUGGCGUCCGGGUGAGUAACGCGUAGAUCAUCUACCUUCGGGUGGGGAAUAACUCAGGGAAACUUGAGCUAAUACCGCAUAACAUCGAAAGAUCAAAGCAGGGGAUCGCAAGACCUUGCGCCUGAAGAGGAGUCUGCGUCUGAUUAGCUAGUUGGUAAGGUAAUGGCUUACCAAGGCUUCGAUCAGUAGCUGGUCUGAGAGGACGGCCAGCCACAUUGGCACUGAAACACGGGCCAAACUCCUACGGGAGGCAGCAGUGGGGAAUUUUGGGCAAUGGGCGAAAGCCUGACCCAGCAAUGCCGCGUGAACGAUGAAGUCCUUCGGGAUGUAAAGUUCGGAAGUAAGGAACGAAAAGCUUUGGGAUAAUACCCCCAAGUGCUGACGGUACCUUAUCUAAGCCCCGGCUAACUACGUGCCAGCAGCCGCGGUAAUACGUAGGGGGCAAGCGUUGUUCGGAAUUACUGGGCGUAAAGCGCGCGUAGGCGGUCUGAAAAGUCAGAUGUGAAAGCCCCGGGCUCAACUUGGGAACUGCAUUUGAUACUGUCAGACUAGAGUACAGAAGAGGUGACUGGAAUUCCCAGUGUAGCGGUGAAAUGCGUAGAUAUUGGGAGGAACACCAGAUGCGAAGGCGGGUCACUGGGCUGAUACUGACGCUGAAGUGCGAAAGCCAGGGGAGCGAACGGGAUUAGAUACCCCGGUAGUCCUGGCCCUAAACGAUGGAUACUUGGUG
rnacentral:rRNA from 1 species